AUGGAAGCAAAGAACGGCGUAUGGAGGAUGCCUAGGCUUUCAGUGCAGACGAAGGACGCGGUAAGCUGCGAAAAGCUACGGGGAGUUGCACACAAACUUUGAUCCGUAGAUGUCCGAAUGGGGAAACCCUCCCGAUUGGAGAUCGGGAACUCCGCAAGGAGAUAUAACCCGGGGAACUGAAACAUCUAAGUACCUGGAGGAAAAGAAAACAAUAGUGAUUUCGUAAGUAGUGGCGAGCGAAAGCGAAUUAGCCCAAAUCUCGGUGGGGAACCAUCGAGAGGUUAGAGGACUGGCAUAAUCAACAAUUUCAUGAGCAGAACGGAUUGGGAAGUCCGACCAUAGAAGGUGAGAGUCCUGUAAGCGAAGUAAAAUUGAAGUGGCUAGUAUCCUGAGUAGGGCGGGGUCGGAGGAGCCCUGUCUGAAUUUACCGGCACCAUCCGGAAAGGCUAAAUACGACUGAAAGACCGAUAGUGAACUAGUACUGUGAAGGAAAGGUGAAAAGGACCCCGAGAAGGGGAGUGAAAAGAACCUGAAACCAUACGCUAACAAGCGGUCGGAGCUCUGAUUCGUCGGAGUGACGGCGUGCCUUUUGCAUAAUGAGCCUACGAGUUACCGUGUAUAGCAAGUUUAACCCCGUUGACGGGGGAAGGCGCAGCGAAAGCAAGUCUGAAUAGGGCAAUAGCUAUAUGCGGUAGACGCGAAACCGAGUGAUCUACCUAUGUCCAGGUUGAAGGUACGAUAGUCUCGUACUGGAGGACCGAACCGGUAAACGUUGAAAAGUUUUCGGAUGAGAUGUGGGUAGGGGUGAAAGGCUAAUCAAACUCGGAGAUAGCUCGUACUCCCCGAAAUGCAUUUAGGUGCAGCGUUAUUUAGUUAUAGUCAUGGAGGUAGAGCUACCAAUAGGGCUAGGGGGCUUCACCGCCUACCAACCCCUGAUGAACUCCGAAUGCCAUGACUAGUGAAAAUAGCAGUGAGGCUUGGGGUGCUAAGGUCACAAGCCGAGAGGGAAAUAACCCAGACCAUCAGCUAAGGUCCCUAAUUGAAUACUAAGUUGGUUAAACGAGGUGGGAACGCUAUGACAGCUAGGAUGUUGGCUUGGAAGCAGCCAUUCAUUUAAAGAGUGCGUAACAGCUCACUAGUCGAGUGUUCCUGCGCGGAAAAUGAUCGGGCAUAAGUAUACAACCGAAGCUAUGGUUUUGUAUUGUCCACGGAUGAUACAAGAGGUAGGGGAGCAUUCUAUGGGAGACGAAGCCAAGACGCGAGUCGAGGUGGAUUCCAUAGAAGAGCCAAUGUAGGCAUAAGUAACGAUAAUCAAGAUGAGAAAUCUUGACGCCGUAAGACUAAGGUUUCCUAGAUCUAUGUUAAUCAGAUCAGGGUUAGUCGGGUCCUAAGGAUAAGCCGAAAGGCGAUGCCGAUGGAAAACAAGUUAAUAUUCUUGUACCUGUAUAAAUUGCGAUGGAGGGACGGAGGGGUGAAAGGUUUGCCCUAUGACGGAUAUUAGGGUUAAAGUGUGUAGGCGUUGAAAGCUUUUGGUAAAUCCGGAGCUGAGCUGAUCCACGACAGUACUCGGAAGCCGCAAGGCUGAAGAGAUAAUGACCGGUAACUGACUCCCGAGAAAAGCUUCUAAGCUUCAGAUUUAUACAGCCCGUACCGUAAACCGACACAGGUAGUCGAGGAGAGUAUCCUAAGGCGCUCGAGUGAUCCGCGGCUAAGGAACUAGGCAAUUUAGUCUCGUAACUUCGGAAUAAGAGACCCCUGCAAUUAUGUGGGGCGCAGCGAAGAGGUCCAGGCAACUGUUUAACAAAAACACAGGACUCUGCUAAAUCGAAAGAUGAUGUAUAGGGUCUGACACCUGCCCGGUGCUGGAAGGUUAAGGGAGGGGAUUAGGAGCAAUCCAAAGUCUUUGACUGAAGCCCCAGUAAACGGCGGCCGUAACUAUAACGGUCCUAAGGUAGCGAAAUUCCUUGUCGGGUAAGUUCCGACCUGCACGAAUGGUGUAAUGAUCUGGACGCUGUCUCAGCCGCGAGCUCGGUGAAAUUGAAGUAUCGGUGAAGAUACCGGUUACCCGCAACGGGACGGAAAGACCCUGUGAACCUUUACUAUAACUUCACAUGGUGCUUGAAUACGGGAUGUGUAGGAUAGGUGGGAGACUUUGAAGUCUAUACGCUAGUAUAGGUGGAGUCACUGUUGAAAUACCACCCUUUCUGUAUUUAGGUUCUAACUCCGAUCUAAUCGGAGGACAGUGUGUGGCGGGUAGUUUGACUGGGGUGGUCGCCUCCUAAAAAGUAACGGAGGCUUGCAAAGGUGCCCUCAGCAUGGACGGUAAUCAUGCGUAGAGCGUAUUAGUAGAAGGGUGCUUGACUGAGAGGCCGACAGGCCGAACAGGGUGGAAACACGGCUAAAGUGAUCCGGUGGCACUGCAUGGGUGGGCCAUCGCUCAAAGGAUAAAAGGUACUCCGGGGAUAACAGGCUGAUCUCCCCCAAGAGCUCAUAUCGACGGGGAGGUUUGGCACCUCGAUGUCGGCUCAUCGCAUCCUGGGGCUGGAGAAGGUCCCAAGGGUUUGGCUGUUCGCCAAUUAAAGCGGUACGUGAGCUGGGUUCAGAACGUCGCAAGACAGUUCGGUCCCUAUCUGUUGUGGGCGCACGAAUAUUGAAAGGAUCUGACUCUAGUACGAGAGGACCGAGUUGGACGAACCUCUAGUGUACCAGUUGUGGCGCCAGCUGCAUCGCUGGGUAGCUAUGUUCGGUUUGGAUAAGCGCUGAAAGCAUCUAAGCGCGAAACCGGCCUUAAGAUGAGUAUUCGAUGAAGGGCUGUAGUAGAUUACUACGUUGAUAGGCUAUAUGUGGAAGUACAGUAAUGUAUGAAGCUGAGUAGUACUAAUUGCCCGAAAGCUUCCUUUU
rnacentral:rRNA from 1 species